ACGCUCGACACCUACGAGGCAGCAGUGAGGAAUAUUGGUCAAUGGGCGCUAGCCUGAACCAGCCAAGUAGCGUGAAGGAUGAAGGCUCUAUGGGUCGUAAACUUCUUUUAUAUAAGAAUAAAGUGCAGUAUGUAUACUGUUUUGUAUGUAUUAUAUGAAUAAGGAUCGGCUAACUCCGUGGCAGCAGCCGCGGUAAUCUGAGCGGGCUGGCAAGGC
rnacentral:rRNA from 1 species